rnacentral:tRNA from 1 species
UGGGAUAUAGCUAAUUUGGUAGAGUGCUUGCCUUGCAUGCAUAAGGCCCUGGGUUCAAUCCCCAGCACCAUAA